rnacentral:lncRNA from 1 species
GGGGCGGGGCCCGCUCGAAGCCACGCCCCCGCCCGCUGUGGGGCUGUGGGGGCCGGGGGAGAUUGAGGUACGGUCCCUUCAUUCUCCCUGUCCAGCGCCUCUGGAAUUGCUUGUUUCCAACCACUGUCCCUCUUCAUUGCAUAGCAGCAACAUGAGUGAUUGGAUAAAUCCUCUUGAGGAUUGCGAUUAACACAGAAGGAAACCCCUAAGUACGAACGGCCACCCGAGGUGGUGACAGCAGCUCCCGUUCCGAGGAGGAAGGCAGCCUGUCCAGACCAGGCGCAGAGGCUGCAAAUACACUUCGGAUUUUUCUUUUUUUUUUUUUAUUUUUUUUUGCUGCGUCGCAUAGUCCCUACAGAUUGGUUCAAGGUCUGCUGUAUUUCCUGGAUCAGGAAGGUUUUGACUGAAAGAUGAGAUUCCUUUGCAGUGGCAUUAUGGGCCACUAAUGGAAAAAGCGGGUGACAUUAAUCCCACAGAUUUAAUUAAUUUCAUCAUCCCACUGAUGAAAAACUUUCUAAAAGCUAAUCAAGCUGUGAGGUAUAUACAUGGUAGAGGAGGGUGUUUCUAUUUGAAAUCUCAAGUAUCUGAAGAGUAGGUCCGAUGAAUUCAUUGGAGAACGAAGAAUGGCAAAGGCAUUUCUGUAACCAGAUCUAAAAUGAAACACUGUCUCCUCAUUAUGUACACUGUGUUAAACCUGACAGUCCUUGGUGAGAAAGCUCUUCCCAUGUAAAAUAAGCAGGAUGUAAUGGACUGUGGGCAUCUGACACUCAUUUCCUAUUACUCUACAGCUACUUCUGUUCAGCCUUGCAUUGCAUGCAUGUGAUUUUAUGCAAUGAAAGACUCAUUACAACUUUAAGCUUUUUGAGGUGCAAUCCUGAGAAGUGCAAAGAAGUUCCCAAAGUCAGUAGGAUUUAUACCACACCAGAGAAGAACGAGCCCUUUUUACAUCUCUGGGUUUUCAGUCACGGCAGUGCUGUAUGUGAUGUAACUGAUACCACCAGAGAGUGUUGAUAUUGGCCUCAACAGCAGCAGAUGGAAGGCUCUAGGUAAGAGCAACAAACACUGAAUCCCAUCACCAGAGUGAACAAAGAAACAGCUUUUCCUACUUUUAGUGUGAAAUAGACCUCUCAACCUUAGAAAAGCUGGGAGAAGAAAUUUCUGCAGAAGAAAUGGUAGUAAAAAUGCUACAUUGCCAAUUCAAAGCUCACUGUUUCUUGGGGAGGCAGAUAGAGAAUCAUGUCCAUGAAGCUGUAAAAUGCUUACAGGUUUCAUUAUUAGGAAUCUUGGAGUGGGAUGGUUUUCUUCAGAUAGGGAAUUAGUGAAAGAAUCAAUAAAUGGAACCACUAAGAGGGCA